UUGCAAGUCAGGUUUCUAGAACUGAGACUGAGUACAUGAAAACUGGAAGUUAAUCACAAAACAAACACACUGAACCAUUAGCCUCAAUGCUGUCUGACUUGCUGCGUGUUUCCAGCAUUCUCUGUUUUCAUUCAAGUAGGUGGAUUGCAAUGAGUCACUUCUAAUGGUGAACCCAUCCACCUGCUGAUCAGUGGAGCUCACACAGCAUGUAUCAAGGUUCCAUGUUCAACAUGCUUACUCAAAUCCAUUCAAGACCUGUAACAAGUUUAGAGAAGGGACUUCAUUAUUGCAACAGCCGUUAAAUCUCCAUGGACUCCUAGAUCUUCGUCUGGGUCAGAUGUGCAUGUGAAAGACCAUGUCAUCUGAUGAAGAGUUUCCUCCACCUGCUCUAUCCCUCAGGCAAUGGUCACUAUACUGUUCACAGCUUCUCGUCUAUUUUAAAACAAGGAUCGUCUGAAAUAAUGAGAACGAAGAAUAAUCCAGCGUUCCGCAACAAAACACAUCAUUGGUAAUUCGUAGUUCGGUUGCCCUGCGUCAAUCUUGACAAGAAUGAAUCUGAUCCAGGGUCAGGCAUA